AGUGAACGCUGGCGGUAGGCCUAACACAUGCAAGUCGAACGGCAGCACAGUAAGAGCUUGCUCUUACGGGUGGCGAGUGGCGGACGGGUGAGGAAUACAUCGGAAUCUACUUUUUCGUGGGGGAUAACGUAGGGAAACUUACGCUACUACCGCAUACGACCUACGGGUGAAAGCAGGGGAUCUUCGGACCUUGCGCGAUUGAAUGAGCCGAUGUCGGAUUAGCUAGUUGGCGGGGUAAAGGCCCACCAAGGCGACGAUCCGUAGCUGGUCUGAGAGGAUGAUCAGCCACACUGGAACUGAGACACGGCCCAGACUCCUACGGGAGGCAGCAGUGGGGAAUAUUGGACAAUGGGCGCAAGCCUGAUCCAGCCAUACCGCGUGGGGGAAGAAGGCCUUCGGGUUGUAAAGCCCUUUUGUUGGGAAAGAAAAGCAGCAGGUUAAUACCCCGCUGUUCUGACGGUACCCAAAGAAUAAGCACCGGCUAACUUCGUG
rnacentral:rRNA from 1 species